rnacentral:misc_RNA from 1 species
GAUGAGAACGCAGCGAAAUGCGAUAAGUAAUGUGAAUUGCAGAAUUCAGUGAAUCAUCGAAUCUUUGAACGCACAUUGCGCCCGCCAGUAUUCUGGCGGGCAUGCCUGUUCGAGCGUCAUUUCAACCAUCAAGCCCCCGGCUUGUGUUGGGGACCUGCGGCUGCCGCAGGCCCUGAAAAGCAGUGGCGGGCUCGCUGUCACACCGAGCGUAGUAGAUUUCAUCUCGCUCAGGGCGUGCUGCGGGUUCCGGCCGUUAAACCACCUUCAUAACCCAAGGUUGACCUCGGAUCAGGUAGGAAGACCCGCUGAACUUAAGCAUAUCAAUAAGCGGAGGA